UCCAGGUAUCAUUACCCUGAACACAUAGGGGUUUUGAAGCGAACCCGGGGAACUGAAACAUCUAAGUACCCGGAGGAAAAGAAAUCAACCGAGAUUCCCUGAGUAGCGGCGAGCGAAAGGGGACUAGCCCUUAAGCAACUUGUGUUUUAAGAGAACAGUCUGGGAAGGCUGGCCAUAGUGGGUGAUAGCCCCG
rnacentral:rRNA from 1 species